AGGGUACCGUCAGGCCUAACGUGUAUUAUACGUUAGGAGGUUCUUCCCCUCUGACAGAGCUUUACGACCCAAGAGCCUUCAUCACUCACGCGGUAUUGCUGCGUCAGGCUUUCGCCCAUUGCGCAAAAUUCCC
rnacentral:rRNA from 1 species